GCUGGGUGCAGUGGCACACGCCUGUAAUCCCAGCAACAUGGGAGGCUGAGGUAGGAGGAUUGCAAGCUGGAGGCCAGCCUGGGCAACUUAGUGAGCCCCUGUCUCAG
rnacentral:sRNA from 1 species